rfam:Clostridium beijerinckii NCIMB 8052, complete genome.
UAUUGAUAAUAGCACACUUGCCGAAAGGUAGGGCCGCAAAGCUAUGGGUCUAAAGAAAUUCAUUUUCAAUGAUUGCCAGGUUGCCAAA